GGAAAUGAUCUCGUUGGUGACCUGCGGAGGGACAUUGCUGGAUAUCACUGCGGCCUGCCACCUCUCCUUUUUACAGUUUUGCUGCUGAUUCCUCCUUGUCUGUUGGGCACUUCUUGUUUCCGUGCCGGGGUCACCCGCCGCAACCCGACGGCGGCCACUUUUGUUCUUGUUUCCUACGGAAUCUCUGAAUUAAUAAUUACAAUGAAUCACAACGGAUCUCUUGGUUCUCUUGGUUCUGGCAUCGAUGAGAAUGCGAUAAGUGUGUAAAUUGUGUAAUUUGCAGAACAUCUGUCUUUCAAAUCUUUUGCGCCCUUUGCUACCUCUGGGAUUUGCCAGUUCUGCCUGUUUUGUACCCUCAAGCUUUGCUUGGUGUUGGUGUCUUGUCUCUCUGCUGCUGGAGACUCGCCUUACUGAAUUGGCAGCCGGCCUCUGGUUUCCCAGCGCGUACAAGUUAUAUCUCUCUAUCAGAAAAGGUGGCGAUGCCCUGCCCCUUUUUUUCCACUUUUGACCUCGGAUCCUCAGGGAUACCCGCUGACCUUAAGAUAUUAAUAAUAUCAAGGAACGGAGGA
rnacentral:rRNA from 1 species